AGGAGCUUGCUCCUCUGAUUUACGGCGGACGGGUGAGUAACACGUGGGUAAUCUGCCUGUAAGACGGGGAUAACUCCGGGAAACCGGGGCUAAUACCGGAUAAUAAGAGAAGAAGCAUUUCUUCUUUUUGAAAGUCGGUUUCGGCUGACACUUACAGAUGAGCCCGCGGCGCAUUAGCUAGUUGGUGAGGUAACGGCUCACCAAGGCGACGAUGCGUAGCCGACCUGAGAGGGUGAUCGGCCACACUGGGACUGAGACACGGCCCAGACUCCUACGGGAGGCAGCAGUAGGGAAUCUUCGGCAAUGGGCGAAAGCCUGACCGAGCAACGCCGCGUGAGCGAUGAAGGCCUUCGGGUCGUAAAGCUCUGUUGUUAGAGAAGAACAAGUACGAGAGUAACUGCUCGUACCUUGACGGUACCUAACCAGAAAGCCACGGCUAACUACGUGCCAGCAGCCGCGGUAAUACGUAGGUGGCAAGCGUUAUCCGGAAUUAUUGGGCGUAAAGCGCGCGCAGGCGGUCUCUUAAGUCUGAUGUGAAAGCCCACGGCUCAACCGUGGAGGGUCAUUGGAAACUGGGAGACUUGAGUGCAGGAGAGAAAAGUGGAAUUCCACGUGUAGCGGUGAAAUGCGUAGAGAUGUGGAGGAACACCAGUGGCGAAGGCGGCUUUUUUGGCCUGUAACUGACGCUGACGCGCGAAAGCGUGGGGAGCAAACAGGAUUAUAUACCCUGAUAGUCCACGCCGUAAACGAUGAGUGCUAGGUGUUGGGGG
rnacentral:rRNA from 1 species